rnacentral:lncRNA from 1 species
AAAAAACAAACGAAAAAUCACGGCACUACUUCCUCCAACAGAAAAAUUAAUUCUUCCUCCAAGCUAAAAUUCCUUCACUUGCACCCACGCUAUAUAUAUAUAUAUAUAUAUAUAUAUAUAUAUAUAUAUAUAUAUAUAUAUAUAUAGUGCGGCUAGGAUGCUUAUGGAAGCACGGAGGGCUCCGUGCUUCCACUUUGUUUUCGAUGUUCCGACUUUCGAAUCGACGAUCGGCUCCGUUAGGCUUGAUCUAAAGUAUUUGAAGUAUCUAGAAAAUAAAUUUUAUGAUUUUUCGAUAUCAUUUGCCUAGUGAUCGAAGUGGCUCAAAAUCAACGGCUGAAAAUAAAAAUCUUACAAAAUAUGAUGAUAUGACAUUAAAAUUUUAGAUCAAAGUUAUUGAUCUUGUUUUAUAUGAUAUAAAGAAUUUUCUAUCAAAAUUUCAUAUGAUUUGAAUAUUUCUACACCGUUAAACUUGCAACCGGCUCACCACGGACAUUAAAAUUAUUGAUUUUGAGCCCCUUCCAUCACUAGAAAAAUGAUAUCGAAAAAUCACAAAAUUUAUUUUCUAGGUACUUCAAAUACUCUAGAUCAACUCUAACGGAACCGAUCGUCGAUUUGAAAAUCCGAACAUCGAAAACAACUUGGAAGUACGGAGGGCUCCGUGCUUCCAUAAGCAUACCAGCCCACUCAUAUAUAUAUAUAUAUAUAUAUAUAUAUAUAUAUAUGAGUUAGACUGGGCUACUAUCGAUAGUAAACUGUUCGAUUUACUACUGAUUUUUUUUUAUGAUAGAGCUUCCAAAUCGACGAUUGGCACCGUUGAACAUGAUCUAGACCAUUUAAAUUAUCUAGAAAUCAAAUUUCAUGAUUUUUUGGCAUCACUAACUGAACGAUCAAAGGGUUACAAAAUUUAUAAUUUUAAUGGCCGAUAUGGUGCGUUUGCUCCUUUAUCAGUAUAGAAGAGUUCAAAUCAAAUAAAUUUUUGUUAGAAAAUUCUUUAAACUAUUUAAAAUAAGAUCUAGACUCUAGAUCUCAAAUAUAAAAAUUAUAUCAUCACUUUUUGAAUGAUAUUCAUUUCCAGUCAUUCAUUUUUCUGUUCACUUGAUGGACAAGAGAACAAUAUCGAAAAUGUGUGAAAUUUAAUUUUCAGAUAAUUUAAAUAGUUUAAAUCAUGUUUAACGGUGCCGAUGAUCAAUUUGGAAGCUCUAUCAUCGAAAAUAAAUCGGUAGUAAACGGCUCGGUUUACUAUCGAUAUAUAUAUAUAUAUAUAUAUAUAUAUAUAUAUAUAUAUAUAUAUAUAUAUAUAUAUAUAUGACAUGAUAAACGUGUUUUGUUUUUUCGAUUUGGUUCAAAGGCUUUUUUAACCUUCUCAUCCAAAAGUACAAACAUAUUCGAAACUUGUUCAAAAAAAAUAGGUGGCUCGAUUUUUAAGAUUAUGCACAUCCAAAAAAAUUGAUCUUAAAUUUUCAUUCUUAAGCACUUUAGAAUUUAGGGAGCGGCUAAUGUGAUGAUUUUAUAGUUUAUCAAGGAGCUGUAGUUUAUCUUUUUUUCAGCCUAGAUUAAUACUUUUUUAUUAAAUAAAAAUCUCUUUAAUUAAUUUAACCUUAUCAUUAUUAUAUUAUUAUACGUACCGAGUCGCCGAAUUAUGUCUACGCUCAACGGAAUCGACAGCAAAUAGCAGUUACUGCGAACGGCUCAGAUUGCUCGGGAAGGUGGGCCCUCAAUCCUAAACCUCUCCGAUACCCCACACCUCACCACCUACGUGCAAGUCACACCAACCUGUAUAAAGUAUAAACGGCGUACGUCAUCACCGUCCCACGAUUCCUUUCUAACAAUCAGAGGGAAAAUUUCUAAAAUGCAACAGGUAUAUUAGUAACGUGGCGUAACAAAUCAAUCAAAUAUUUUUUUUUUAGAAAUGUAUAUNUCUACGCUCAACGGAAUCGACAGCAAAUAGCAGUUACUGCGAACGGCUCAGAUUGCUCGGGAAGGUGGGCCCUCAAUCCUAAACCUCUCCGAUACCCCACACCUCACCACCUACGUGCAAGUCACACCAACCGGUAUAAAGUAUAAACGGCGUACGUCAUCACCGUCCCACGACUCCUCUC